AAUUUUGGACAAUGGGGGCAACCCUGAUCCAGCCAUCCCGCGUGUGCGAUGAAGGCCUUCGGGUUGUAAAGCACUUUUGGCAGGGAAGAAACGGCGCGGGCUAAUAACUCGCGCAACCGACGGUACCUUCAGAAUAAGCACCGGCUAACUACUCGCCAGCAGCCGCGGUAAUACGUAGGGUGCAAGCGUUAAUCGGAAUUACUGGGCGUAAAGCGUGCGCAGGCGGUUUGGAAAGAAAGAUGUGAAAUCCCAGAGCUUAACUUUGGAACUGCAUUUUUAGCUGCCAAGCUAGAGUAUGUCAGAGGGGGGUAGAAUUCCACGUGUAGCAGUGAAAUGCGUAGAGAUGUGGAGGAAUACCGAUGGCGAAGGCAGCCCCCUGGGAUAAUACUGACGCUCAUGCACGAAAGCGUGGGGAGCAAACAGG
rnacentral:rRNA from 1 species